rnacentral:rRNA from 1 species
GUGCCAGCAGCCGCGGUAAUACAGAGGGUGCAAGCGUUGUUCGGAAUUAUUGGGCGUAAAGCGCGUGUAGGCGGCUUAGCAAGUCGGGCGUGAAAGCCCUCGGCUCAACCGAGGAAGUGCACCCGAAACUGCUGAGCUUGAGUGCCGGAGAGGAUGGCGGAAUUCCCCAAGUAGAGGUGAAAUUCGUAGAUAUGGGGAGGAACACCGGUGGCGAAGGCGGCCAUCUGGACGGUAACUGACGCUGAGACGCGAAAGCGUGGGGAGCAAACAGGAUUAGAUACCCCUGUAGUCC